rnacentral:rRNA from 1 species
CGGGGGGCAGCAGUCGAGAAUCAUUCACAAUGGGGGCAACCCUGAUGGUGCAACGCCGCGUGGAGGAUGAAGGUCUUCGGAUUGUAAACUCCUGUCAUCCGGGAGCAAGACCUGGCAGUGAAUAGCUGACAGGGUUGAUAGUACCGGAAGAGGAAGGGACGGCUAACUUCGUGCCAGCAGCCGCGGUAAUACGAAGGUCCCGAGCGUUGUUCGGAAUCACUGGGCGUAAAGGGAGCGUAGGCGGCGUGGAAAGUCAGAUGUGAAAUCCCAGAGCUUAACUCUGGAACUGCAUCCGAUACUACCAUGCUAGAGUAUUGGAGGGGUAACUGGAAUUCUCGGUGUAGCAGUGAAAUGCGUGGAUAUCGAGAGGAACACUCGUGGCGAAAGCGAGUUACUGGACAAUUACUGACGCUGAGGCUCGAAGGCCAGGGGAGCAAAAGGGAUUAGAUACCCCAGU